GCGAGAAAACUUUGCAAUGUGCGAAAGCACGACAAGGUUAAUCCGAGUGGUUUCUGCUAAAGAAACCUUUUGUCAGUCCUAGAAACACUAACGAAUAAGGGGUGGGCAAGUUCUGGUGUCAGCCGCCGCGGUAAAACCAGCACCUCAAGUGGUCAGGAUGAUUAUUGGGCCUAAAGCAUCCGUAGCUCGUUUUGUAAGUUUUCGGUUAAAUCCAUACGCUUAACGUAUGGGCUGCCGGGAAUACUGCAUAACUAGGAAGUGGGAGAGGUAGACGGUACUCGGUAGGAAGGGGUAAAAUCCUUUGAUCUAUUGAUGACCACCUGUGGCGAAGGCGGUCUACCAGAACACGUUCGACGGUGAGGGAUGAAAGCUGAGGGAGCAAACGGGAUUAGAUACCCAAGUAGUCCCUGAGCGGGC
rnacentral:rRNA from 1 species